CCUUCUCUGUAUUGGCCAUGUGUGUACUCACGGUCCCUCACACAUGGCCGAAACAGAGAAGCU
rnacentral:pre_miRNA from 1 species